AAUUUUGGACAAUGGGGGAAACGCUGAUCCAGCCAUCCCGUGUGUAUGAUGUAGGACUUCGGGUUGUAAAGUACUUUUGUCAGAGAAGAAAAGGUACCCCCUAAUACGGGAUACUGCUGACGGUAUCUGAAGAAUAAGCACUGGCCAACCAAGUUCCAGCAACCGCGGGAAUAAGUAGGGUGCAAGCGUUAGUCGGAAUUACUGGGCGUAAAGCGUGUGUAGGCGGUUCGGAAAGAAAGAUGUGAAAUCCCAGGGCUCAACCUUGCAACUGCAUUUUUAACUGCCAAGCUGGAGUAUGUCAGAAGGGGGUAGAAUUCCACGUGUAGCAGUGAAAUGCGUAGAUAUGUGGAGGAAUACCGAUGGCGAAGGCAGCCCCCUGGGAUAAUACUGACGCUCAGACACGAAAGCGUGGGGAGCAAACAGG
rnacentral:rRNA from 1 species